CCUACGGGAGGCAGCAGUGGGGAAUUUUGGACAAUGGGCGCAAGCCUGAUCCAGCAAUGCCGCGUGCAGGAUGAAGGCCUUCGGGUUGUAAACUGCUUUUGUACGGAGCGAAACGGCCCCCUCCAAUACAGGGGGCUAAUGACGGUACCGUAAGAAUAAGCACCGGCUAACUACGUGCCAGCAGCCGCGGUAAUACGUAGGGUGCGAGCGUUAAUCGGAAUUACUGGGCGUAAAGCGUGCGCAGGCGGUCAUAUAAGACAGAUGUGAAAUCCCCGGGCUCAACCUGGGACCUGCAUUUGUGACUGUAUAGCUAGAGUACGGUAGAGGGGGAUGGAAUUCCGCGUGUAGCAGUGAAAUGCGUAGAUAUGCGGAGGAACACCGAUGGCGAAGGCAAUCCCCUGGACCUGUACUGACGCUCAUGCACGAAAGCGUGGGGAGCAAACAGGAUUAGAUACCCUGGUAGUCCACGCCCUAAACGAUGUCAACUGGUUGUUGGGUCUUCACUGACUCAGUAACGAAGCUAACGCGUGAAGUUGACCGCCUGGGGAGUACGGCCGCAAGGUUGAAACUCAAAUGAAAUUGACGG
rnacentral:rRNA from 1 species